rnacentral:snRNA from 1 species
ACGGUAACUCGGAGGUGGUUUUGCCUCGAGUGGUCCAGCCAGUGGGUCCAGGGCGAGGCUUUGCCAUUGCACAUCGGCUUAGCUGACCCUUGCGAUUACCCCAAAUGUGGGUAACUCGGUCGUAUAAUUUCUGGUAGUGGGGACUGCGUUCGCGCUAUCCCCGU